rnacentral:rRNA from 1 species
UACGUAGGGGCCUAGCGUUGUCCGGAAUCAUUGGGCGUAAAGAGCUCGUAGGCGGUUCGGCAAGUCACGUGUGAAAUCUCCACGCUUAACGUGGAGGCGCCACGUGAAACUGCCGUGACUCGAGUCCGGUAGGGGAGUGUGGAAUUCCCGGUGUAGCGGUGAAAUGCGUAGAUAUCGGGAGGAAUACCCGUGGCGAAGGCGGUCCACUGGGCAUCAACUGACGCUGAGGCGCGAAAGCGUGGGUAGCAAACAGG